rnacentral:rRNA from 1 species
AUUGAACGCUGGCGGAAUGCUUUACACAUGCAAGUCGAACGGCAGCACGGGGGCAGCCCUGGUGGCGAGUGGCGAACGGGUGAGUAAUACAUCGGAACGUGCCCGGUCGUGGGGGAUAACGUAGCGAAAGUUACGCUAAUACCGCAUACGAUCUGAGGAUGAAAGCGGGGGACCUUCGGGCCUCGCGCGAUCGGAGCGGCCGAUGUCAGAUUAGGUAGUUGGUGGGGUAAAGGCCUACCAAGCCGACGAUCUGUAGCUGGUCUGAGAGGACGACCAGCCACACUGGGACUGAGACACGGCCCAGACUCCUACGGGAGGCAGCAGUGGGGAAUUUUGGACAAUGGGCGCAAGCCUGAUCCAGCCAUUCCGCGUGCAGGACGAAGGCCUUCGGGUCGUAAACUGCUUUUGUACGGAACGAAAAGGCUCUGGCUAAUACCUGGGGCUCAUGACGGUACCGCAAGAAUAAGCACCGGCUAACUACGUG